UACACACCGCCCGUCACACCAUGAGAGCUGUUUGUACCCAAAGUCGUUUUAGCCAACCUGAAAAGGGGGCGGAUGCCAAAGGUAUGUAUGGUGAUUGGGGUG
rnacentral:rRNA from 1 species